rnacentral:lncRNA from 1 species
AGAUACGCCCCUUGGAUGCCUGCAGAGAAGCUCUGGGGUUUCAGUCAAUGACUCAGGGUAGCCACUGAACAUGACGCUCGCAGUGGGUGCCACCUGGACUCCACUCUCCUCUCUCUCUGGGAUCAUAGAGUCCAAGGUGUUCUGUGGCCUCUCGGCCAGUCCCAGCAGCUCAGCGUGCAGAAGACCGAGGAGCCAUUGGUCAGUGCAGGAGGUGCCUGGCGUUUUGGAGAUGGGAUGCAGAGGUCUCUUCACACCGAAUGCCUCUUCCCCUCUUGUGCCAGCUUGAUGCUGACUUCAUUAUGUUUGGGCUGCUGGGCCCAUGGGAGGAGAAAGGCUGGGGGAAUUCAACACAACAUGAAAUAAUCGACAAAUUCGGGGAAUGUUAAUCUGACCAUUCCCAGUUACAAAUGAUGUUUCAUGCUACCUUCUAUUCCUGCCUUCAUAAAUCAAGGAAAAGAAAAAGAGAACAUAUAUCCCCCUACCUUUUGAUUUCCAACAGUCUACUGAGAGGCCAACAUUAUUUGCAGGGAAAGAAAAGGGGAAUGCCAUCCCCACCCUCUCGCAGCUACA